AGAGGUUACGAAACCAACCAAGCAAGGCAAGUCGGCCAUCAGGCUCAGCCUCCCAUGAAGCGCUCCUGACUUCCCACCCUUCCUCCAGGCCAGGAGUCUGCCAAUCACAAUCUGGGUUCUGUUUUCCCGCCUUUCCUGGCAGCACAAACCACGGCUCCGGAUGGUGAGCAAUGCAAGUUCCAGGCAUGCCUUGCUGCAUUACUGGGUUCCCAGGUGUCACUUCAUCCAGAGGGGAGGAGGCCUCGCCACCAUGCCCAGAGCAGCACAGUGAGUCAGAGAUGAAGCUCUUGUCCCACCUGCCCCAACCCUCGAGCCCUGCUUCCCAGGUCCGCAUUCCCAGGCAGCCUGCCACAGCCAGUGCCAGCGAGAGAGUGGAUCAGGCUUCAGGAUAGCCCAGCACUGAGGACAUCUAAAACAGUCUUCAUUUAUUUAUUUAUUGUUCAUAGUGUCCAAAAGUUGGAAUUAAAGUGAAUGGCUGAA
rnacentral:lncRNA from 1 species